GAGAGUUUGAUCCUAGCUCAGAAUGAAUGCUGGCGGCGUGUAUAAGGCAUGCAAGUCGAACGGUCCCGCAGCAAUGCGGGACAGUGGCAAACGGGUGAGUAUAACAUAAGUAAUCUACCCUUUUCUCAAACAUAACUUACCGAAAGGUGAGCUAAUAUUUGAUGGUCUUGUUUUGCAAAAGCUAAACAAGUAAAGAACAUCGCAAGAUGUUUGGAGAGGGAGGAACUUAUGCUCCAUCAGGUAGUUGGUAGGGUAAUGGCCUACCAAGCCAAUGACGGAUAGCAGGUGUAAGAGCAUGAUCUGCCUCACUGGGACUGAGACACUGCCCAGACUCCUACGGGAGGCUGCAGUCAAGAAUCUUCCUCAAUGGCCGAAAGGCUGAAGGAGCGACGCCGCGUAUAGGAAGAAACCCUUCGGGGUGUAAACUAUUUUUCUGGGGGAGCACAUCCGAGAGUACCUCAGGAAUAAGUCGCUGCUAACCUCGUGCCAGCAGCAGCGGUAAGACGAGGGCGACAAGCAUUAUUCGGAUUUAUUGGGCGUAAAGCGUGUGUAGGCGUCCUAUUACAUCUUCUAUUAAAACCCUUAGCUUAACUAAGAGGCCAUAGAAGAAAUGGACAGGAUUGAGACUGGGAGAGGCAAGUGGAAUUACCGGUGUAGGGGUAGAAUCCGUUGAUAUCGGUAAGAACGCUAAAAGCGAAGGCAGCUUGCUAGAACAGUUCUGACGCUGAGACACUAAAGCGUGGGGAGCAAAAAGGAUUAGAUACCCUUGUAGUCCACGCCUUAAACUAUGGAUGCUAGAUAUUGAAAGUGUCGACCCUUUCAGUGUCGUUUAUAGAAUAGCUAACGCGUUAAGCAUCCCGCCUGGGGAGUACGGCCGCAAGGCUAAAACUCAAAGGAAUAGACGGGGACCUGCACAAGCGGUGGAUCAUGUGGUUUAAUUCGACGAUAAACGAGAAACCUUACCAGGACUUGACAUUCUACUAGUAAGUCGAUGGAAACAUUGGCUGACCGUUAAAUCGGCGAGUAGAACAGGUGCUGCAUGGUUGUCGUCAGCUCGUGUUGUGAAAUGUACCUUUAAUUAGGAAAACGAGCGCAACCCUUGUCCUUAG
rnacentral:rRNA from 1 species